AACGAACGCUGGCGGCAGGCUUAACACAUGCAAGUCGAACGAGCAAGAGCCGUAGUAAUACGGAGUUCUGCUAGUGGCAGACGGGUGCGUAACACGCGGGAACUUCCCCUUCAGUACGGGAUAACACUGGGAAACUAGUGCUAAUACCGUAUAAUCCGAGAGGUAAAAGAUUUAUCGCUGAAGGAUAGGCCCGCGUCAGAUUAGCUAGUUGGUAGGGUAAUGGCCUACCAAGGCUACGAUCUGUAGCUGGUCUUAGAGGACGAUCAGCCCCACUGGAACUGAGACACGGUCCAGACUCCUACGGGAGGCAGCAGUGGGGAAUCUUGGACAAUGGGCGCAAGCCUGAUCCAGCCAUGCCGCGUGAGUGAAGAAGGCCUUCGGGUUGUAAAGCUCUUUUAGCAGGGAAGAUAUGACGGUACCUGCAGAAAAAGCCCCGGCUAACUCCGUGCCAGCCGCCGCUGUAA
rnacentral:rRNA from 1 species